UACAGAGGGUGCAGCGUUGUCCGGAAUCACUGGGCGUAAAGGGCGCGUAGGCGGCUCAUGAAGGCUGUGGUGAAAGUCCGGGGCUCAACCUCGGAUCGGCCGUGGCGACUCGUGGGCUGGAGCACUGUAGAGGCGGGUGGAAUUCCGGGUGUAGCGGUGGAAUGCGUAGAGAUCCGGAAGAACACCAGUGGCGAAGGCGGCCCGCUGGGCAGUGGCUGACGCUGAGGCGCGACAGCGUGGGGAGCAAACAGG
rnacentral:rRNA from 1 species